GGAACUGCUGAGCCCUCUUUCACUACUUUUAGCAACAGUCCAGCUGCACUUUGUUUUCUCUUCCGAUGUGUGCCCAAAUGCAGGAGAUUUAGAAAUUGGCAAUUUAACUUGGAAACUUGAAUGUUGUAUGAGCAACAGAAAACAAUUCACACUGAAAAUUGUGGCUCAAAAAUUGGACUCAUUGGACUCGAUGUACAGCUCAGAAACAUGUCCUGGCACCAAUUACAGAGAGCGAAAGUGUUUGAAUCUCUCUCUAGCGGUAGAAAUGGUAAACACUGCAAACCAGCACAUUCUUUAAGAAAUACUUCACAUUAUAACAAGAUUUUAAGCACACAUGCAGUGUUAUUUUCUCUGAUGAAUCUUUAUAUGUUGGUUUUGUCUAUCAGGAAUUAUAAAGGUCUCUGUAAACCAUACAGUUUGUAAGGAAAACUACACUCAGCCUGAAUGCCACCCAAAUGUCACUUUCAACAAUACAGCUGUAAAUCUUCCACAACAGUAAGUAUGUUUCAUGUGUACUCAAUUACUGAAUACAAAGUUUCAGUAUAUUUGGUGCCACACAUGCUUUAAAUAAAUCGCCUGUAUAUUUUCCUUCAUAAAAGAAAUAGAAAUAUCUGCUUCAACAUGUCAUCAAAGAAUGGCAUGAAAGUAAAGAUUAAAUUUCAAUGUGCUGAGUACCCUGCUGCUAACAGUAAGCUCUACCCAACACAUUAAAAUUUCUUAAAGACUGCAUUUAACAAAGUCACAUGGAGUUUAUGUACAAUAUGUGUGCAUUACAUUUUUAAAACCUCUUGAUUCUUGUGUCCAGUCAGUCUACACAGCGAAAGUAAAAGUUGGAUUGAUGCCUUGGAGGACUGCCAGAUGGAACAUUUCUCCCUGGUUGAGAUCUGUGAAAAGAAAGUAAGGGAUGAUGUGAAAAGACUGCAAAAUAAAACAGACUCAAAGACGGGGGUGUGGAUUGGACUGCAAAGGUCCAUUUUUGGCUACAGUCCUGAGUGGAAGUGGAUUUCAGGGUAUAAUGUUGUAAAUUCACAGUUGAAUAGAACGUCGUCCGCCAACUCUGACUUUGACAACCACUGUGGAAAAGUCAUCUUUGAUAAUAAGACAGAAGAAAUCAAGUGGUCCAACGCCAACUGCCAUGAAAAAUUACCAUACAUUUGUCAAAGAAUGAAUGAAAAACCUUGUACUGAUGAUUAUACAGAGAAGUCAGAGCUUUUCAUUGACAUUGAGUGAACUGAUAGCACCAAAGAAAACAAUACGCAGCGUCUCCAAUCAUCAUCAUGUCAAGGUGAGAUUCUUGGAGAAGCAGAUUGAUGACCCAACAACCCCAAUGUGUAUAUAUGCUGUUUGUAUGUAUGUAUGUAUGCUGUAGUGUUGUGUUUCACAGGAAAACUACUUUGGUUACUAUCAUUUGCAAGCCUUGUUAAAUUACCAGUUCACCCACCACUUCUCAGAAGUACCUGUAUUUGUCAAAGACGCUUCUAUGUAAAGAGUCGAUGUAUUAUUUUUGUCAUUAAAAACUUAAAUAUCUGGCUAAUUUAACCGAGCGGUUAUAAGAAACAACAUUUUUAAACAUUGAAUUUGAACUCGCGAUUUUCUUUUUCUCUCAAACAAAAAAACUAAAGAAUAUUCAUUCUGUGCUAAUAAUAAAAUGUAAAGUUAACAAAAUGCAAACUGUA